CCUACGGGAGGCAGCAGUGGGGAAUAUUGCACAAUGGGCGCAAGCCUGAUGCAGCCAUGCCGCGUGUGUGAAGAAGGCCUUCGGGUUGUAAAGCACUUUCAGCGGGGAGGAAGGCGUUAAGGUUAAUAACCUUGUCGAUUGACGUUACCCGCAGAAGAAGCACCGGCUAACUCCGUGCCAGCAGCCGCGGUAAUACGGAGGGUGCAAGCGUUAAUCGGAAUUACUGGGCGUAAAGCGCACGCAGGCGGUCUGUCAAGUCGGAUGUGAAAUCCCCGGGCUCAACCUGGGAACUGCAUUCGAAACUGGCAGGCUAGAGUCUUGUAGAGGGGGGUAGAAUUCCAGGUGUAGCGGUGAAAUGCGUAGAGAUCUGGAGGAAUACCGGUGGCGAAGGCGGCCCCCUGGACAAAGACUGACGCUCACGUGCGAAAGCGUGGGGAGCAAACAGGAUUAGAUACCCGUGUAGUC
rnacentral:rRNA from 1 species